GCAAGUAUAGUUUAAACCAAAACAUUAGAUUGUGAUUCUAAAAACAGAAGUUAAAACCUUCUUACUCGCC